UUAAGCGACUAAGCGUACACGGUGGAUGCCCUGGCAGUCAGAGGCGAUGAAGGACGUGCUAAUCUGCGAUAAGCGUCGGUAAGGUGAUAUGAACCGUUAUAACCGGCGAUUUCCGAAUGGGGAAACCCAGUGUGUUUCGACACACUAUCAUUAACUGAAUCCAUAGGUUAAUGAGGCGAACCGGGGGAACUGAAACAUCUAAGUACCCCGAGGAAAAGAAAUCAACCGAGAUUCCCCCAGUAGCGGCGAGCGAACGGGGAGGAGCCCAGAGCCUGAAUCAGUGUGUGUGUUAGUGGAAGCGUCUGGAAAGGCGCGCGAUACAGGGUGACAGCCCCGUACACAAAAAUGCACAUACUGUGAGCUCGAUGAGUAGGGCGGGACACGUGGUAUCCUGUCUGAAUAUGGGGGGACCAUCCUCCAAGGCUAAAUACUCCUGACUGACCGAUAGUGAACCAGUACCGUGAGGGAAAGGCGAAAAGAACCCCGGCGAGGGGAGUGAAAAAGAACCUGAAACCGUGUACGUACAAGCAGUGGGAGCCUCUUUAUGGGGUGACUGCGUACCUUUUGUAUAAUGGGUCAGCGACUUAUAUUCUGUAGCAAGGUUAACCGAAUAGGGGAGCCGAAGGGAAACCGAGUCUUAACUGGGCGUUAAGUUGCAGGGUAUAGACCCGAAACCCGGUGAUCUAGCCAUGGGCAGGUUGAAGGUUGGGUAACACUAACUGGAGGACCGAACCGACUAAUGUUGAAAAAUUAGCGGAUGACUUGUGGCUGGGGGUGAAAGGCCAAUCAAACCGGGAGAUAGCUGGUUCUCCCCGAAAGCUAUUUAGGUAGCGCCUCGUGAAUUCAUCUCCGGGGGUAGAGCACUGUUUCGGCAAGGGGGUCAUCCCGACUUACCAACCCGAUGCAAACUGCGAAUACCGGAGAAUGUUAUCACGGGAGACACACGGCGGGUGCUAACGUCCGUCGUGAAGAGGGAAACAACCCAGACCGCCAGCUAAGGUCCCAAAGUCAUGGUUAAGUGGGAAACGAUGUGGGAAGGCCCAGACAGCCAGGAUGUUGGCUUAGAAGCAGCCAUCAUUUAAAGAAAGCGUAAUAGCUCACUGGUCGAGUCGGCCUGCGCGGAAGAUGUAACGGGGCUAAACCAUGCACCGAAGCUGCGGCAGCGACGCUUAUGCGUUGUUGGGUAGGGGAGCGUUCUGUAAGCCUGUGAAGGUGUACUGUGAGGUAUGCUGGAGGUAUCAGAAGUGCGAAUGCUGACAUAAGUAACGAUAAAGCGGGUGAAAAGCCCGCUCGCCGGAAGACCAAGGGUUCCUGUCCAACGUUAAUCGGGGCAGGGUGAGUCGACCCCUAAGGCGAGGCCGAAAGGCGUAGUCGAUGGGAAACAGGUUAAUAUUCCUGUACUUGGUGUUACUGCGAAGGGGGGACGGAGAAGGCUAUGUUGGCCGGGCGACGGUUGUCCCGGUUUAAGCGUGUAGGCUGGUUUUCCAGGCAAAUCCGGAAAAUCAAGGCUGAGGCGUGAUGACGAGGCACUACGGUGCUGAAGCAACAAAUGCCCUGCUUCCAGGAAAAGCCUCUAAGCAUCAGGUAACAUCAAAUCGUACCCCAAACCGACACAGGUGGUCAGGUAGAGAAUACCAAGGCGCUUGAGAGAACUCGGGUGAAGGAACUAGGCAAAAUGGUGCCGUAACUUCGGGAGAAGGCACGCUGAUAUGUAGGUGAAGCGACUUGCUCGUGGAGCUGAAAUCAGUCGAAGAUACCAGCUGGCUGCAACUGUUUAUUAAAAACACAGCACUGUGCAAACACGAAAGUGGACGUAUACGGUGUGACGCCUGCCCGGUGCCGGAAGGUUAAUUGAUGGGGUUAGCGGUAACGCGAAGCUCUUGAUCGAAGCCCCGGUAAACGGCGGCCGUAACUAUAACGGUCCUAAGGUAGCGAAAUUCCUUGUCGGGUAAGUUCCGACCUGCACGAAUGGCGUAAUGAUGGCCAGGCUGUCUCCACCCGAGACUCAGUGAAAUUGAACUCGCUGUGAAGAUGCAGUGUACCCGCGGCAAGACGGAAAGACCCCGUGAACCUUUACUAUAGCUUGACACUGAACAUUGAGCCUUGAUGUGUAGGAUAGGUGGGAGGCUUUGAAGUGUGGACGCCAGUCUGCAUGGAGCCGACCUUGAAAUACCACCCUUUAAUGUUUGAUGUUCUAACGUUGGCCCCUGAUCGGGGUUGCGGACAGUGUCUGGUGGGUAGUUUGACUGGGGCGGUCUCCUCCUAAAGAGUAACGGAGGAGCACGAAGGUUGGCUAAUCCUGGUCGGACAUCAGGAGGUUAGUGCAAUGGCAUAAGCCAGCUUGACUGCGAGCGUGACGGCGCGAGCAGGUGCGAAAGCAGGUCAUAGUGAUCCGGUGGUUCUGAAUGGAAGGGCCAUCGCUCAACGGAUAAAAGGUACUCCGGGGAUAACAGGCUGAUACCGCCCAAGAGUUCAUAUCGACGGCGGUGUUUGGCACCUCGAUGUCGGCUCAUCACAUCCUGGGGCUGAAGUAGGUCCCAAGGGUAUGGCUGUUCGCCAUUUAAAGUGGUACGCGAGCUGGGUUUAGAACGUCGUGAGACAGUUCGGUCCCUAUCUGCCGUGGGCGCUGGAGAACUGAGGGGGGCUGCUCCUAGUACGAGAGGACCGGAGUGGACGCAUCACUGGUGUUCGGGUUGUCAUGCCAAUGGCACUGCCCGGUAGCUAAAUGCGGAAGAGAUAAGUGCUGAAAGCAUCUAAGCACGAAACUUGCCCCGAGAUGAGUUCUCCCUGAGACUUUAAGUCUCCUGAAGGAACGUUGAAGACGACGACGUUGAUAGGCCGGGUGUGUAAGCGCAGCGAUGCGUUGAGCUAACCGGUACUAAUGAACCGUGAGGCUUAACCUU
rnacentral:rRNA from 1 species